GACGAACGCUGGCGGCGUGCCUAAUACAUGCAAGUAGGACGCAGUUGCGAACGGGUGAGUAACGCGUAGGUAACUACCUAUUAGAGGGGGAUAACUAUUGGAAACGAUAGCUAAUAACGCCUACUAGUAGAUGGACCUGCGUUGUAUUAGCUAGUAGGUAGGGUAAUGGCCUACCUAGGCAACGAGACAUAGCCGACCUGGGAGGGUGGUCCGGCACACUUGGACUGGGACACGGCCCAGACUCCUACGGGAGGCAACAGUAGGGAAACAUUGGCAAUGGGGGGAACCCUGAACGAGCAACGCCGCGUGAGUGAAGAAGGGUUUCGGAUCGUAAAGCUCUGUUGUUAAGGAAGCGGUACUUAACCAGAAAGUGACGGCUAACUACGUGCCAGCAGCCGCGGUAAUAC
rnacentral:rRNA from 1 species